rnacentral:rRNA from 1 species
UACGUAGGGUGCAAGCGUUGUCCGGAAUUAUUGGGCGUAAAGAGCUCGUAGGCGGUUUGUUGCGUCGGCUGUGAAAUCCCGAGGCUCAACCUCGGGUCUGCAGUCGAUACGAGCAAACUAGAGUGUUGCAGGGGAGACUGGAAUUCCUGGUGUAGCGGUGAAAUGCGCAGAUAUCAGGAGGAACACCGAUGGCGAAGGCGGGUCUCUGGGCAACAACUGACGCUGAGGAGCGAAAGCGUGGGGAGCGAACAGG